CCCUGACGCCCCACAACCAGUGCUCACUCGAACGGGGAAGUCAGCUACCACGCAAGGCAGUCGCGGAAGCCUCCCGCUGACACCCGGCCAAGGUGCCCCUUCUUUCCCCUUCCCAGGUAGGCAGAGACCCCAGGGCCUGUCCCUCGGAUUGGGGCGCACCCGGCAGCUCUGCAACUUACACCCCACGAACAGAAUAGAGAGCGUGGACGCGAAGGUCUAAGGCUCUUGGAGACACCACAGCGACCUCUGCACUACCGCCGUCCCUGAGCCUAGGAAGCUCCUCGGGCUGGCGGGUUCCCAACCACCAGGCACCCCGCACUCACCUGCAACUCCGAACCACAGCAGCAGCCUGCCCCAGCGGCCCAUCGCCCCUUCCGCGCCCGGCGGAGGCUGCGAGGUCAGAACUCGCCGCUGAGCGCCAGGCUGUCUGCUAGAUGCCUGAAGCCAGUCGACUACGCCCACUCCGGACGCGGGCAGAACCUCCUGGACACCCUGAGAAACAUGAACUUCUGGGCGCUGUCUCGUUAAUGCUGUGAACAAUUUGUGAUGGGGAAGAAGCCUAGAGCAGACGUCGGGAGAUCUGAGCAUCAGUGCUGGCGUGCCUGGUCACGGCUGAGGUGCAAGGCUGAACAGACCUCUCUGCGCUGAGAUGGAAACCCCACCACCUUUGAGAUACGCUGCGCCUAGGCAACCGGAAGGGCUAGUUUCCGCCUUUGUUUUGUCCCUGGUCCUGCAGUGGGAUGGCGGUGUAAGACAGCUAUGCACCAGGCUGAUGUCUGACUUCAUGUCUUGGAGCACAGGUAGUGGAA